GUUGCCUGGUGACGGCGGCGGGGCCGAGGCGGCCGCAGAGGGUGAGCGGGGCCUGACCGAGCCCCUCCGUCAGCGGCUGACCCGGGGCUGGGUCUCCUCGGCCUGGCUGGACGCUUUUCCCAGAGCACAACCCCUCCUGAUGGCCGGCGCCGCAGGGGCAGCCGUGCGGAGGUGCGAGCGUGGCACCAGGAUGGGAGCAGGCGUGGCAGGUCCUUGUCAUAGCGAGGGCUGCAUCACCUAGCCGGCAUCCCAGAGGAGAAGCAGAUGGCAUGCUUUCUUUGGGUAGAUGGAAACACACAUGAGCAAAUGCUACAUGUCAGUGUAAUGAGGCUAUUUGAAAAGAAGUUACCACCUUUGCAAGCCUGGAAGAUGGUUUGAAUUGAGAGGAUGGACUGAGAUGCAUAUGAGCUGCAUAUUUUAAAACACAGGGAAGUAUGUGCAAGGUCUUAGGAGCAAAGAGCCUGGAAGGCACAGAACAAAGCAUCUGCUACAAGAGAAACAUUGAGAAAGAGCAGCCUUUUGAAACUCUAUGCUGUUAAAAACUGUUCAGCUGCUGUCUAGAAAGAUGCAAAGGGUCCCUGCUCUCAAAAGCGCUCACAAGGGCAGCCUGGAGAGAAGAAAUAUUGUCUUUCAUUGAUGGUCCUGGGUGAGUCAUUCACCCUCUGUCUGACUCAGCACUGAGCACUCUUGCACUCCCCAGAACAUCUCCCAGCUCACACCAGUCAUUGUCCAAGACAGUAUACUCAGUCUUAGGAGCAUCUUGGUAGCUCAGCGCAGAGCCUUUAGCCAAGCUGCUGUGCUAAGGAGCGUAGGGACUGUGAGCCUGACCCUGACAUUGUUCUGCAUCCCAGCACCUGGAAGUCUUGCUGACAUCUGUUUGAAGCAAGUGUGUAAGUACCCUGGUGUCUCAUGGCCUGCUUUCCGAAGAAACCUUCUAGUACAGUAUCAAAGUCUAAAUCAAACCAAUGCCUGCGUUUUCUAGAAUUUGCUUGGAAAUCUUAACAGCAAAAUUCCUAAAUGAGACAAGAAGAUCUCUCAGUGAUGCAUAAAUACAUUGCUGCUAGACUCAAGUAGUAAUCUAGAUCAUUUUCAUUUGCUGAGAAAGUUUAUUUGCAUGGAACUGCAAACCAUCGUCUAGGGAGGCUGCACUGGCUGCUCAGCUUCUACACAGCAGGAUCUGCUCUUGUGCUUCAGCAGUGCUGUUGCUAUGGCUUUGCCCCAGCAUAUAUGAGAUCAGAAAGUGGCUCACUGCCAUGUAUAUGGGUUUUGCGAGAACUGAAUUGAAUUAUGCUUGUCAUUGUUUGCUUGGGGUGUUUUUCCCUAGCAAGAUUAACAAUAGCACUGCUCACAAAAUCCUCACCUUAAGAAAGAAAUUAUGUUGAUCAUUCCUUUAAAAGGGAAAACUAAAGAA